rnacentral:hammerhead_ribozyme from 1 species
AUCCAGCUGAUGAGUCCCAAAUAGGAUGAAAUGCACGCGCUGGAU